AACGAACGCUGGCGGCAGGCUUAACACAUGCAAGUCGAACGCCCCGCAAGGGGAGUGGCAGACGGGUGAGUAACGCGUGGGAACGUGCCCUUCGCUUCGGAAUAGUCCCGGGAAACUGGGCUUAAUACCGAAUACGCCGUAUUGGGAAAGAUUUAUCGGCGAAGGAUCGGCCCGCGUUGGAUUAGCUAGUUGGCGGUGUAAUGGACCACCAAGGCGACGAUCCAUAGCUGGUCUGAGAGGAUGAUCAGCCACACUGGGACUGAGACACGGCCCAGACUCCUACGGGAGGCAGCAGUGGGAAAUCUUGGACAAUGGGCGCAAGCCUGAUCCAGCCAUGCCGCGUGAGUGAAGAAGGCCUUAGGGUUGUAAAACUCUUUCGCCGGAGAAGAUAAUGACGGUAUCCGGAGAAGAAGCCCCGGCUAACUUCGUGCCAGCAGCCGCCGUAACAC
rnacentral:rRNA from 1 species